UUAACAAAAACAUGUCUUUUUGAGUUUAAAUAUAAAGUCUAAUCUGCCCACUGAUAAAUUAUUUAAUGGCCGCAGUAUUUUAACUGUGCAAAGGUAGCAUAAUAAUUAGCUUUUUAAUUGAAGGCUUGUAUGAAUGAUUGGACGAGAUAUAAACUGUCUCAUAAAAAUUUUUUUUGAACUUUAUUUUUUAGUUAAAAAGCUAAAAUAAAUUUAAAAGACGAGAAGACCCCAUAGAUCUUUAUAUUUUUUUUUAUUAUUAUUUUUUAGUUUUUUUAUAAAUUAAUAAAUAAAAAUAUUUUGUUGGGGUGACAUUGAAAUUUAAUAAACUUUCAAAAUUUAAUAACAUUAAUCUAUGAAUUUAUGAUCCUUUAUUAUUGAUUAAAAAUUUAAGUUACCUUGGGGAUAACAGCGUAAUUAUUUUGGAGAGUUCUUAUUGAUAAAAUAGAUUGCGACCUCGAUGUUGGAUUAAGAUUAAUUUUGGGUGUAGCAGUUCAAAUUAUUAAGUCUGUUCGACUUUUAAUUUCUUACGUGAUC
rnacentral:rRNA from 1 species